rnacentral:rRNA from 1 species
GAUGAACGCUAGCUACAGGCUUAACACAUGCAAGUCGAGGGGCAGCAUUGGAGUAGCAAUACUUCAGAUGGCGACCGGCGCACGGGUGAGUAACACGUAUCCAACCUGCCGCUUACUCGGGGAUAGCCUUUCGAAAGAAAGAUUAAUACCCGAUGGUAUAAAGAGUUCGCAUGUUCUCUUUAUUAAAGAAUUUCGGUAAGCGAUGGGGAUGCGUUCCAUUAGAUAGUUGGCGGGGUAACGGCCCACCAAGUCUACGAUGGAUAGGGGUUCUGAGAGGAAGGUCCCCCACAUUGGAACUGAGACACGGUCCAAACUCCUACGGGAGGCAGCAGUGAGGAAUAUUGGUCAAU